UAGAUACUCCCUCCGUCCCAAAAUUCUUGUCUUAGACUUUUCUAAAUACGGAUGUAUCUAGUUAUGUUUUAAUGCUAGAUACAUCCGUAUCUAGACAAAUCUAAGACAAGAAUUUUGGGACGGAGGGUACCAU
rfam:Triticum aestivum genome assembly, contig: Triticum_aestivum_CS42_TGACv1_scaffold_030715_1BL